GGUUGGUACUUGGGCUCUGUUUGACAGCCUGUUAAUGAAGACUCAACAGUAAACAACUGCCUGUGAUGUAAUGUGGAACUUCUUCCACAGAGCUUGUAUUUACAAGCAGAGAGGCGUGCGAGAGCAGCACUGUGCUCAGUGAAAGUGAAGAAGUCCAAUGUUGUGUAAGCGCUGCCAGUUAUUAAACAAGACUCACAAGAAAGAGUGCAGCUAGUGAUUACACCCCUCACUGCUGGAGAGAGGUUUAGAAGGGUCAGCCUCAGAUGGUUACCUGCUGCAGAACUGGAUUCACAAAACUACAGACUGAACUGGCUCUUGGAGGUGUAGCGAGUCAUUGAGAGAAGCAAUACAUUUGUGCCAUGGCUGGAAGCAGACAGCAGGAGAAGAGAGAGCUCUGGAAGCGACUGUCUUUGGACAGCAGCCUUGUGGAGCACAUAGACUCCAACAAGUGCAUAGAGGAACUGUUGAAACAGCUGGAGGAGGAGCGCAGGAGCGUGCGAAGGCAAGUGAAGCUCUGUUUUUACAUUCACAUUUUAACUGAAGGACAUAAAAAUAUACAG